CAUCUCUUAAUUGGCUCCCAACAGAGAACCCUAAUUGACAAUACCUCUAUCGGCUGCCCAAAUCGGACGUUCACUUCUUCUUAUCUUCUUGCAGUAGACGCCCAAGGGUCGGAACUUUGUAAUUUUAUCCUUUAUUCAUCAUCAUCAUCAUCUUUUUAUUUUUGUAGUUUUCUAAAUCGGUAUUCUUCUUCUUCAGGAUCUGAUACUCAGGUGACAAGAAGUGAGAAUCCACUCAAAAUCCUCAAAUACACAGUUGAAAAUUGACAUCAACACAAGUAAGCUUCAUUACAUUAUUUGCAGAUCUUAAAUUCUUAAUCAAAUUGUCAUAGUUUAAUCUUAUUUUCAAAUAUUAUAUAUAUAUUUUUUUUUUGUAAAAUGGUAAACUAAUGUAUUUAGACAUUUGUAAAAUUCUUCUAAUUGAUUUAAAUUUCAUUUACCUGGUUUCGACUUUCGAUACUUGACCUUGCCACUGGUUCCCAUCUUCCUUGCUUCAUCUCUAUGAAUUGUUUUUGGAUAUGGGUUUUGUAAUUACCUGUAAAUUAUUCAUGGUUUUUUGCUCUUAAAUAUAUCCAUAAUUCCAUAUGCAAACAAUUAUUUAAUAUCUAUAUUUCUUGUAUUUAAUAAUUUCCCCUUUCUAUUCUUACAUUAAGUCUCAUAAGAUCAACAACCAGGAAAGAAAAGGGUCUUGUAGUUUGAUCAGAGGACGUUGAUCUGUCUUUUGCUACAUAACUUGUAAUUGUGUUUUUCUUCUUCCACUGGCAGACCUGAAUAAAGGAAG
rnacentral:lncRNA from 1 species